UGUGCAGCACUGAGCCUGGAAGCACCUCCAAGUGGCCACUCCUCAGAUAGCCACUGGAGGUGCUUCCAGGCUCAAGGCAUUGUAAA